UUGAGCUUCGGACCUGAGCUGCUCCACGCGGCCCUGAGGCGGGAUGCGAGGGGCGCUUUGUGCCGGGAGCUGGAACCUGACCUAUGAGGCACAAGGCCUCUCACUCGGCACCUUCUUCCAAGUGAACCUGGACUAAAAUGACCACGUGCCGGACUGUGUCAUCAGAUCUUCACAGCCCCAUGAGUUAAGAACCUUGAUGAUUUCCAUUCUGCAGAUGAGGAUGAGGCACACGUGACAUGCACAGGCCACGCAUCGGCCUUGUGGAAUAGUCACCUCUGGCUGUAUCUUAUUAGAAACCGGCAAGAAAAUAACUAAAAAUAAUCGGCUGUUGAAAUGAUUAUUUAAGCCGCCAAGAAAUGCAUCCUGAUGACUGUGCGUGACUGCGCGGUGGCUGCGCUCUCGCCGGUCCUGCCUCCAGUUCGGUUCCACUUCUCCGCUGCUGCUUUAAGACUGCAGAGCGCCCCAGCGGCCAGAGGCAGGGGAGGGGGUCCCCGCUCGCCUCCGCUCCUCUCGCUCCUCGCCCGCCCGCCCGCCCGCCUCCCAGGCAGGGAAGGUUAGCGAGGGAUCAAUGUGAUUCGGGCCGCAGGAGAGGAAAGAUGAGCCUGCCCGCCCGCCUGCUGCCUGGAUGUGGAGGCUGAGGGCCGGCGCACCGGAGGCCGCUUGCUGCGCAGUCUGGGCGCCCGGCGCCCGGGAUGAGCUCACGCCCGCGUCUGCGGCUCGGUCCACCUGCCGACCUGCCGGCGGCCCCCUGAGCUGACGGCGCACCUGGGCUGCAGCCCCGCCGGCCCGCUCUGGCCGCAGCGUUGGGCGCGGCGCCCGGGAGCAGGUG